rfam:Callithrix jacchus chromosome 9, whole genome shotgun sequence
UGUGUAGAACUGAACUGUUGUCAGAGUUUCAAAGAAAUCAAUGUUUUUUGGUAAAAUGUGCUAAUGUAAAGAGUUAGAAGAUUAGUGAUACAUAAGGAAGGCAUUCUUUCGCAUGGAAAUAGGAAUAUAAUAAAUGUCCUGCAGGUGAUUGGGGCUGUAGCAGUUUUAUUGAAGAUUAAAGUUUGAUUGACCUUUGUUAGGGUGAUUAACCCUUCAGAAAUUAAAAGCCAGAGCUGAAUUAUUUUGCUCAAUUUAUAUGCAAA